AGAACGUGCCCUUAAGUGGAGGAUAAUCUCGGGAAAUUGAGGAUAAUACUCCAUAGAUCAUGGGAUCUGGAAUGACCCAUGGUUCAAAGUUCCGGCGCUUAAGGAUCGCUCUGCGGCCUAUCAGGUAGUAGUGGGUGUAAAGUACCCCCUAGCCUACGACGGGUAUGGGCCUUGAGAGAGGGAGCCCAGAGUUGGAUUCUGAGACACGAAUCCAGGCCCUACGGGGCGCAGCAGUCGCGAAAACUUCACACUGGGGGCAACCCCGAUGAGGGAAAUCCUAGUGCUAGGACAUUUGUUCUAGCUUUUCUCAAGCGUAGAUAACUUGAGGAAUAAGGGCUGGGUAAGACGGGUGCCAGCCGCCGCGGUAAUACCUGCAGCCCAAGUGGUGGUCGAUUUUAUUGAGUCUAAAACGUUCGUAGCCGGUUUGGUAAAUCUUUGGGUAAAUCGGGAGGCUCAACUUUCCGACUUCCGAAGAGACUGUCAAACUUGGGACCGGGAGAGGCUAGAGGUACUUCUGGGGUAGGGGUAAAAUCCUGUAAUCCUAGAAGGACCACCGGUGGCGAAGGCGUCUAGCUAGAACGGAUCCGACGGUGAGGGACGAAGCCCUGGGUCGCAAACGGGAUUAGAUACCCCGGUAGUCCAGGGUGUAAACGCUGCCGACUUGGUGUUGGAGGCCCUUCGGGGGCAUUCAGUGCCGGAGAGAAGUUGUUAAGUCGGCUACUUGGGGAGUACGUCCGCAAGGAUGAAACUUAAAGGAAUUGGCGGGGGAGCACCGCAACGGGAGGAGCGUGCGGUUUAAUUGGAUUCAACACCGGAAAACUCACCAAGGGCGACUAUCACAUGAAAGCCAGGCUAACGACCUUGCUUGAUUCUUAGAGAGGUGGUGCAUGGCCGUCGUCAGUUCGUACCGUAAGGCGUUCUCUUAAGUGAGAUAACGAACGAGACCCUCAUCUAUAAUUGCUACUUCACCCUCCGGGGUGGAGGCACAUUAUCGAGACCGCUGGCGCUAAGUCAGAGGAAGGAGAGGUCAACGGUAGGUCAGUAUGCCCCGAAUCUCUUGGGCUACACGCGCGCUACAAAGGGCGGGACAAUGGGCUACAACGUCGAAAGGCGAAGUCAAUCUCGAAACCCGUCCGUAGUUCGGAUUGAGGCUUGUAACUCAGCCUCAUGAAGCUG
rnacentral:rRNA from 1 species